UAAUACAUACGACUGACUUAAGUGAAAGUGGCUGACUUAAAACUAUAAGUCAGCUUGCCGAUACAACUGAUUUACAGAAAUCCGGCUGAGUUAUGUGACCACGGCUGACUUAAUGAUACAAAUGACGGCUGACUUAUACAUCGGCGGUUUGAUUUCUGGAAAAUUUGGCUGAGUCGUGGUUAAGAAACGGCUGAGAAACUUUUUUUCAGCUGAGUAAAGGAACAUGGAUGGGCUGGGUUAUUGAAGCCACGGCUGAGUUAUGGGAUGCUGUUACGACUGGGUUUGUAUUAGUCAGCCGUUAAAGCAUGGAUAAACAGUAAACUCAGCUGCUUUGCGGCUGACGUAUGAGCGAAAGAUUAAUUACUAGAAUGUUCUCGUUUGAUGGCUGAUUUACGUAACGAUACGGCUGACAUAUGGUUGUUCAUCCUUAUUGCGGCUGACUUACUGUCAAAAGAUUAAUUACUAGAAUGUUUCCAUGUAUCGGCUGACAAAGUGUAAACAUGAUGGCUGACUUAUUUUGGCUGAGUUACUGAUUUGUUUGUCGGCUGAUUAACCGAUGUUCCAUGUCAUCUGCCAUGUCAUCAACUCGGAUUUGACAUGUCAUCACUAACGGUCGCCCAAUUUACAACUGAGUUACGAGACCUUUCAGUUGUCUUCUUCAUCUUAUUUUUGAAUGAUUACACAGCCUUUCUUUUCUUCUUCAUCAUCUCAGUUAUCUAUCCUCUUCAUCUUUCUCAUAUGGUAAUGGAUCCCGUUAUUAUUGUUUCCGGUAAAUGGAUUAUGAAAAAACGAUAUGUAUUCAACGUCGACAGUAGAGGGUGUAGAGUUCUUCAUUUAGGUGAGAAAACUAAACUUGAAGAUUUCACAAAGUCUGUCAUCGACGAUUACGGUUUGAAUGAUUUGAAGGUUCAUAUUCUGCUUAGCUACAUGUUUUCGAAUAAAACAUUGAAAACAAUGGCGCACAACACUCCACCAGUUUACGUGUCCAACACUCGACAAUUGCAAUGUUUUCUAAGCUUAAAGAAAAGCGAACAACUACGUCUCUGUGUGGAGAUUACAGAGAAAAAGGAUGACAGCUCAGACGUAGAAGCUUCAGAAGAAGAAGCUUCAGAAGAAGAAGCUUCAGAAGAAGACGCUUCAGAAGAAGAAGCUUUAGAAGAAGAAGCUUUAGAAGUUGAGUCUAUAGAGAAUGGGAGUUACGAUGGUUGCAGUUUGGAGGAUGAACAAGAUGAAAUUGAGAAUGACUGCUUUAGUAACGUUGAAAUACACGACGUAGCCGGAGAAGAUGAAAUAGGCAAAGAAAACGAAGAAGAUGAUGAAUUUGAAAGUCGAUUUGAUAUGUUCGAUGACUCGGACGGUGCGUCAUCUGAAGAUGAUAACUUCAGCACAUACGGUGAGUCUCCUAUCGAAGAAGACGAAGAUUCACCAACGCUACCUUCCAAGAAGAGAUAUCAGAACUUCUUGAUGAGCGAAUCUAAAGGGAAUCUGGAGGUUUUGAAGUUGGAGAUGUCGUCGUUAGACCUUGCGGUAGGACAACGAUACUUGACUAAAAAGCAUUUGAAGAGACGACUGAAACUUUUUACAGUGAGGCAUCAAUUUGAUUUUGAUGUAGAAAUAUCAAACCUGACAACAUACGUUGUUAAGUGUUGGGUUGAUGGAUGUACAUGGAGAGUUCGUGCAUCUACCGAAGGAUUGUCCCCGCAGUUUUAUAUUCGUAUUUACGACUCGGAUCAUGCAUGUUCUGUAACUGAGCGUUCUAAUCGAUCUCGAAAUGCAACACCGGAUAUUUUAGGAGAGUUGUACAAGAACUUUCUCGGCGACGUUGGUCCGGCCGUUUGCCCUGAGAGUGUCGGAAUAGCUAUCACUAAGCAGUUUGGUGUAAAGGUAAUUAUGUUACAACGGCUGAGUUAUGUUAGAGUAUAGGCUGGGUUAUUUUAUGUUAGAAAUGGCUGAGUUACAAAACUAUGGUUGAGUUAUGUUUACGUUGUGACCGUCUUAAUGAUAUGAUGUGGCUGAGUUAUGUAAAUUGUUUUUUCAUGUGAGCAGAUGGAAUAUUGGAAAUCACACCGGACGCUUAAAUGUGCAAGGGAAAUCGAUGAGGGCACACCUGAGUGUGGUUUUGAACUCUUGCCUUCUUACUUAUACAUGAUAAGAAGGGCAAAUCCGAAUACAGUUACGCGUCUUCAAAUCGAUGAGCUUGGAAGAUUCAUGUAUGUGUUUCUUGCGUUUGGUGCGAGCGUUAAUGGGUUUCCUUUCAUGCGCAAAGUUGUUGUCGUCGACGGUACGUUUCUUAAUGGUAAAUAUAAAGGGACGCUACUCACAGCACUAGCUCAGGAUGGUAACUUUCAGAUUUUUCCAAUAGCCUUCGCAGUGGUUGACACUGAAAAUGAUGAUUCGUGGAAUUGGUUUUUUACGCAACUAAAAGUGUUGAUUCCUGACCAGGAGGGUCUUGCGAUAAUAUCAGAUAGGCAUAACUCGAUAGGGAAAGCAAUUACAAAUGUGUAUCCGUUAGCUGCUCGUGGAAUAUGCACCUAUCAUUUGUAUAAAAACAUAUUGGGACGGUACAAAGGAAAAGAUGUAUUUCGGCUGGUGAAGAAAGCGGCGAGAUGUUUUAGAAUGUCUGACUUUGAUAUGAUUUUCGAGGAGAUUGAAGCACUUAAUCCUGAUCUCCACGGCUACCUCGAAAGAGCUGAUGUCAGACUGUGGACACGUGUUUAUUUCCCGGGCGAGAGGUACAAUUUGAUGACUACGAACAUAGCGGAAUCAAUGAACAGAGCAUUAUCGCAUGCUAGAGGUCUUAACAUUGUUCGAAUAUUGGAAUCGAUACGGGUUAUGAUGACCAGAUGGUUUGCUGAACGAAGAGUGGAUGCCAGAUCGCAGUCAACCACACUCACGCGAUGUGUGGAGAAACUAUUACAAGUAAGUCAGUCGUAACAGUAAAAUAAGUCAGUCUUUAAAUCUAAUAAGUCAGUCGUUAUAUUGCAUAAGCCAGCUUUAUAAAUAAUAAGUAAGCCGUUUCACGAAUAUUGGGUUUUGUUAAUAGGGACGUGUAAGUGCCUCCCGGGAUUGGACGGUUCAAAGGAUUGAUGACCAUCACACUGAAGUUAAAUAUGGCGCUGCUGGCGAGUCUUUGAAUGUUGUUAAUUUGGUUGAGCGAAAGUGCACAUGUCGGCGUUUCGAUGUCGAGAAAAUACCAUGUGUACACGCAAUCGCAGCUGCAGAGGAAAGAAAUGUUUCUCGUAUAUCACUGUGCAGUCCUUACUAUAAAAGCACUUAUUUAGCUAGCGCAUACGCUGAAUCGGUCAUGCCGGUUGACUCAGCGCUACCUGUUCCAGAUAACGUGGCUAACGUACAGUGCUUUCCACCGUUUAUUCGUCAACAACCGGGAAGACCUAAAAAAAAUAGGAUGAAAUCUGCUUUAGAAGUUGCACUUGCAAACAAACGUCCUAGGAAAGAGCACAUAUGUUCUCGUUGCAGUCAAAGUGGACAUAAUGCGAGAACUUGUCCGAUAUAAGCAAUUGCUUUUCAUGUUGUUUUGUAAUACGGCUGGGUUUUGUGUUGUAAUACGGCCGGGUUUUGUGUUGUAAUACGGCUGAGUUUUAUUUUCAUUGAUUUGCAUAACGGCUGGAUUAUUAAUUGUAAUACGGCUGGGUUUUGUGUUGUAAUACGGCUGGGUUUUGUGUUGUAAUACGGCUGGGUUUUUUUGUUUUAAUGUUCUAUGACGGCUGCGUUAAUGUUUUUCAAAUUUUGUAUUGUGGUUGGGUUUUUAUUUUCAUUGAUUUGCCCGCUUCCCAUUACUCAAGAGAGACACAGACAUCGAAAAACGAAAUGUUCGUACUUAAUUGCCCUACGUUACGUAAUAGCCCCUACGUAAUUAUUGAUUUUAAAGUGGAAUACGAAAGUAGCGAAUUAAAUUAAGAGAAAUUAAUCUUUAUUGGCUGAGAUAAUGUUAUUCACACGCCUAAUAAUUGUCGUGAUUUCUAAUGUCAGCUCUUUUAUUCAAACGCAGUUGAAAAAAACUUCCCCGCUAGAAACACGAAACGUCGCGAAGUCAACUAAGGCUGAGUUAUUGUAAUACACGGCUGGGUUAUGGAUUAAAUUCCCGCUCAAAAUAAGAAAUAAGAAACGCCGCGAUACGAAACUACAACCGUUAACUGCAGAUAAAUAAGGUAUUUCUCAAACAAUUACACAUCUUCAACUCUCUAUCUUUUACACAACUGUCCUCUCAGAGAAAAUGGAAUAUUUCCCUCUGCUUGAAUUGCCUGAAGAUCUUCAGGCAAUGGUGGUUGAACGUGUGGCCCGUAACUCCUUCCAAGAUCUCUACCACCUCAGAGCAUCGUCCAGGUCUAUGAAGGCGUUAGCAGAGAUGCGUAGGGUAUACCAUUAUUUCGAUGUGUUAUCCUUUCCCUGGGGUCUCAUUAUGCCAUCUCAGUUGUUGAAAACUUGCUACGCUGAGAACAAUCCAAGCACAAUUUAUGUAAAGGGUGUACAGUUUUUCUACUCAUACGAUGAGCAAGAUUAUGGCCUUUCUCUCAUCAAGCGUGCAGCAGAUGCAGGAUAUGAGCGUGCAGUGUAUACACACGCUAUGACUCAAGCAAUCUUUUACGGUGAUGCGCAGUAUUUUCGGAGAAUUCCAAGAGCAACUGUUGACAGGGUCGGGAAACUUGUUCGAGAUGCGAAAUGGGGAUGGGGUUUGUGGCAUACUGACGAGUUCCGUCAAAUUAAGGCCAUGUUCACUUCUACUUAUGUUCCGUCCUUCUACAUUUGCCAAUGUGCAAAUGUUGUGGACCGACAAUGUCUCUGCCUAUGGCACAUUGAUGUGACUAAGGACGACAACAUGUGUGAGCGCUGUUUCUGGAUCAAAGAGAUUUCCUUGUUCUUUCGUGAUUUUGAACCGAUAAACCUGUUUAGGGACACAAGUAAGUGGUGAAGAUGUUUCUGCAUCAGAAUCUUAUCUUUUUAUGUUUUUUGCUAUGCCAUUAUGUAUGUCGAACAAAAAAAUUAUAUAUUCUGUUUUAAUGGCUGACUUAUUUUCUUAUGGCUGAGUUAUUUUCAUCUUAUGGCUGACUUAUUUUCAUCUUAUGGCUGAGUUAUUUUCAUCUUAUGGCUGACUUAUUUUCAUCUUACGGCUGAGUUAUUUUCAUCUUAUGGCUGAGUUAUUCUCAUUUAUUCUUCUUAUGGCGUUAUUAAAUGCCUAAGUUUUGAUUGUUUUUUUAUUGUUAGAAAUAUGACUGUUUUUUUAUUGUUCACUUAAACGUUAAGACUGAUAUUAUUAUAUGUUACGGCUGAGUUGUUGUUUCGGAAAAAAUUAACAACGGCUGAGUUAAAUCCGAGUUACAUAAACAUAGACUGGCUUAUGAGUACAGAAUCUGAGUAAACAAAGAAGUAGUAGUAGCAACUAAUACAUUUAAGACUUCAUCCUAAGACAUUCAAUAAUUUUUAUGAUCUCAGUUAUGUCUUUCUUCAUAUCAUCUAAUUCUGCUUUUAUAGCGGCCAAAUCCUGCUCUAUCGUCGCGAGUUUGUUUGCCACAACUACAAACUCUUCAUCAUGUGCUUCAUCAAGCCAUUUGAAAACAUAGUUUUGACCCGAAUUUGUUCCACAUCGAUAAAAUCUUCUACCCGGAUUCUUUAUUGUACCUGACGUUAACACAAUGGUAGCAGCUCCACAGUCGCACGUCCUUGGAAUUCCACGCUGUAGAUCCAUCUAAUUUAUACAUCAAAGCACACAAAAAUAAUGCAAAAUCGAACAAGGCCAAAAUACAAAAAAUAAUUCAAAAUCGAUUUUGGACGAAAGAGACUUACUUUAGGUUUUAGAAGUCGACUCUGGUUUUUCCUUUAUCUUUUACUUGUAAAUAUUGGAAAUAUAAUAGGGAAAUCAUAUUAAAUAUAAAGAUCACGCGUGUCCAAAUAAAAUAAACAUAUAAUGACCUCGAUAUCGUAAAUUACUCGGACAUGCGUGUCAGGACAUAACUCGACACUGAGUUAAAUUAUGUAUGACUCUUUUGGCCAACUUUUAUUUUUCGACAUCAUUAAAUAUUAACAAUUUUACGGCUGAGGUUUAGUUUUCGGUAUUAUUAAUUAUUAACAAUGUUACGGCUGAGUUUUAUUCUUCGGCAUUAUUAAUUAUUAACAAUGUUACGGCUGAGUUAUAUUUUCCGGCAUUAUUUACUUUACACAAGGAAAAAAAAAAGUAAUCAUUUUCGUCCCAACGCGAAAAAAAAAAGAAAAGCUCUCGACGACAGGCGAUUUCGAAGCGUCUCGAUACGAAGAUGCCUAAUUCGCACAAACCUCAUUUCUUGAAGCCUCUGCUUCCCGAUUUCCACAGUGGCGUGACAAUACCACUUGGCUUCUUCUCACAGCACAUAGAAGGGAAGACAAACCGGAAAACAUGGAAACUAAGAUCGGACGCUACAGAUCAAACUUGGAAAGUGAUACAAGAAGGCAGGAGACUCACCGGAGGUUGGAAAGGUUUCACCACAGCACAUGACCUUCAAAUCGGUGACAUUGUCAUCUUCAAACACGAAGGAGAUAUGGUGUUUCAUGUCACACCAUUUGGUCCUAGCUGUUGUGAGAUUCAGUAUACACAUCCUCACAUCAUCAAGGAAGAAGCCGAUGCGGAUGAUGCUCCUUCUUUCUCAUUUGACUAUUGUUUUCAGGCUGAGGUCACUGCUUCGAAUCUAAAAGAAGACAAACUUUAUCUUCCUGAGGGAGCUACGACUUGUACUGCUUUGAACAAACAAUGCCAAGAGAUAAUACUUGUCAACAAAGAGGGAAAUUCAUGGACUGUGAGUUUGCGAUUUAGCGAAGCAGACGGCAUGUAUUACAUCAGAAGAGGCUGGAGAAAGUUCUGUCGUGCUAACAGAUGCGCCAUAGGAGACUUAUUUGUGUUCAAUGUGGUUGGAGAUGGGAAAACUACUCCAUUAAUGUGUGUAUGUCCGGAAAGGGAAGAGUGAUUUUGAACCUAAACUUAUGUAUGUCGAACCAGAAAUUUAUGUAUGUCUCUUUUUAUGGCUGACUAAUAUUCAUAUUAUGGUUGAGUUAUUGUUUA